rnacentral:lncRNA from 1 species
GAGCGAGACCGGAAGCUGCGGAGACCCGGGAAGACCGCCACGCCCUCCCACAAGAGGGCGUCUGCGUCACACCAGCUGUGAGGUCCUGGGCAAGUCAUAAAGCUCUUUGUGCCUCAGUUUCCAUAUCUGAAAAAUGAGGAUAAUAAUAGUGUCUACUUUAUUUGACUGGCCUGGGGAUUUAAGGAGGUAAUACCGGAAAGUGUUUAAAGCAAUUUCUAGCACAAAGGAAACACAGCAAUUGUGAGCAAUUCUUAUGUCUUUGGCCGUGACUGGUGGACUCCGGGCCUCAGCCCCAGUGGCAAAUGUCGUGCUGCCCUGUUGUGCUGUUCUUUAAUAUUGUGCCUGGCUGGUGCUGGGUGCAGCGGAUCCUGGGUGCCUGCUUCUUGCAGAACCUGGAGAGAACAGCGAGGACUGGACUUACCGGCUGACCCAGCAAAUUGGGACCGUGCACGUGAAUCCAAGUGGGAAUGUGUGGAAGUUCUUUGUGUUUGACUGUGAGCAUCCGUAUGUGUUCUCCUUGGAGGUUCACCCACCAGAAAACUGGGAUCAGCAGGAAGAACUUGCACACGCGCCUGGAGGAAUCCAGAACCACUGUUACUCUUGGAGUCGCAUCUCUGAUGUCUUCGGCGAUUUCCAAGAAGGAGACAACUCCUCAGUGAGAGUUCCUGGCUGGGAGGGCGGCUGGCAGUGCGAUGCCAGUAAGGGCCGGGCUGGCAGCGUGUGUGAAAUUCUGGUGCUAGGGAGCUGCCGGGAUUUGUGCUCCUACAUCAUUAAGACCAAAGGAGCUGAAGAAGAAAAGAGAGAUGGUCUUCAUUAAAGAUGAUCACAGUCAUCACACCUCACUGUCACCACGGACAAUCUGCAGGAGGAUGAUGCUGACAUACACUGGUGUGCCGUAGAAAAAUGCUUGAGGGAACUGGGGGGCCCAGUGGAAAUCAUGGUGGCUUCAGUUCCUCUUCCUUGGCCAACUGCUUAAAUGCCAGGGUCCUCAACACCCGUGCCUUCUUCCUGGUCUGCAGCAGAGAUUCUCUCAGGCUUCUUUCUCCAGUGUCCAUGGACCUCUGGAGUCCACCUGGAGUUGUCCUGCUUCCUGGUUCAUCGGACAUGACUGGGCGCGUCUGAAUGCCAGCUCCGGACAGUCUGAGCUGGGACACCUGAUACGUUUGUAUGAAGUGGUGGUCUGGUGACUAAUGUCAAGAUGACCUAUUUCUGCGGGGCAACUAGUGUCUCAAACUAGUUCUGGAGGUCUGCUUGGAGGUCCUUAUGUCUUCUCACAUGGUUUUGGAAGGU